rnacentral:rRNA from 1 species
AUUGAACGCUGGCGGCAGGCCUAACACAUGCAAGUCGAGCGGAUGAAGGGAGCUUGCUCCUGGAUUCAGCGGCGGACGGGUGAGUAAUGCCUAGGAAUCUGCCUGGUAGUGGGGGAUAACGUCCGGAAACGGGCGCUAAUACUGCAUACGUCCUGAGGGAGAAAGUGGGGGAUCUUCGGACCUCACGCUCUCAGAUGAGCCUAGGUCGGAUUAGCUAGUUGGUGGGGUAAAGGCCUACCAAGGCGACGAUCCGUAACUGGUCUGAGAGGAUGAUCAGUCACACGGGAGCUGGGACAGGGUCAAGACUACUACGGGAGGCAGCAGUGGGGAAUAUGGGACAAUGGGCGAAAGCCUGAUCCAGCCAGGCCGCGUGUGUGAAGAAGGUCUUCGGAGUGGAAAGCACUUUAAGGGGGGAGGAAGGGCAUUAGGUUAAGACCUUGCUGUUUUGACGUUAACAACAGAAUAAGCACCGGCUAACUUCGUG